rnacentral:rRNA from 1 species
UACGUAGGGUCCGAGCGUUGUCCGGAAUUAUUGGGCGUAAAGGGCUCGUAGGCGGUUUGUCGCGUCGGGAGUGAAAACACUGGGCUUAACCGAGUGCUUGCUUUCGAUACGGGCAGACUUGAGGCAUUGAGGGGAGAACGGAAUUCCUGGUGUAGCGGUGAAAUGCGCAGAUAUCAGGAGGAACACCGGUGGCGAAGGCGGUUCUCUGGCAAUGUUCUGACGCUGAGGAGCGAAAGUGUGGGGAGCAAACAGG